rnacentral:rRNA from 1 species
UCAGUGGCGGACGGGUGAGUAACGCGUGAGUAACCUGCCUUUCAGAGGGGGAUAACGUCUGGAAACGGACGCUAAUACCGCAUAACAUUCUUAUUCCGCAUGGGAAAAGAAUCAAAGGAGCAAUCCGCUGAGAGAUGGACUCGCGUCCGAUUAGCCAGUUGGUGAGGUAAAGGCCCACCAAAGCUGCGAUCGGUAGCCGGACUGAGAGGUUGAACGGCCACAUUGGGACUGAGAUACGGCCCAGACUCCUACGGGAGGCAGCAGUGGGGGAUAUUGCACAAUGGAGGAAACUCUGAUGCAGCAACGCCGCGUGAGGGAAGACGGUCUUCGGAUUGUAAACCUUUGUCCUUGGUGACGAUAAUGACGGUAGCCAAGGAGGAAGCUCCGGCUAACUACGUGCCAGCAGCCGCGGUAAUACGUAGGGAGCAAGCGUUGUCCGGAUUUACUGGGUGUAAAGGGUGCGUAGGCGGCAGUGCAAGUCAGGUGUGAAACCCCUCGGCUCAACUGAGGGCUUGCAUUUGAAACUGUGCUGCUUGAGUGGAGUAAAGGCAGGCGGAAUUCCCGGUGUAGCGGUGAAAUGCGUAGAGAUCGGGGAGAACACCAGUGGCGAAAGCGGCCUGCUGGGCUUUAACUGACGCUGAGGCACGAAAGCAUGGGGUAGCAAACAGGAUUAGAUACCCUGGUAGUCCAUGCUGUAAACGAUGAUUACUAGGUGUGGGGGGUCUGACCCCUUCCGUGCCGGAGUUAACACAAUAAGUAAUCCACCUGGGGAGUACGGCCGCAAGGCUGAAACUCAAAGGAAUUGACGGGGGCCCGCACAAGCAGUGGAGUAUGUGGUUUAAUUCGAAGCAACGCGAAGAACCUUACCAGGUCUUGACAUCUGCUCAAUUUGGCGGAAAUGCUGAAGUGCCCUUCGGGGAAGAGCAAGACAGGUGGUGCAUGGUUGUCGUCAGCUCGUGUCGUGAGAUGUUGGGUUAAGUCCCGCAACGAGCGCAACCCUUGUGAUUAGUUGCUACGCAAGAGCACUCUAAUCAGACUGCCGUUGACAAAACGGAGGAAGGUGGGGAUGACGUCAAAUCAUCAUGCCCCUUAUGACCUGGGCUACACACGUACUACAAUGGGCGCCAACAAAGGGAAGCGAAACCGCGAGGCGGAGCGAACCCCCAAAAGCGCUCUCAGUUCGGAUUGCAGGCUGCAACCCGCCUGCAUGAAGCUGGAAUUGCUAGUAAUCGCGGAUCAUCAUGCCGCGGUGAAUACGUUCCCGGGCCUUGUACACACCGCCCGUCACACCAUGGGAGCCGGUAAUACCCGAAGUCGGUAGUCUAACCGCAAGG